GGGUUGUGAGGUUAAGCGACUAAGCGUACACGGUGGAUGCCCUGGCAGUCAGAGGCGAUGAAGGACGUGCUAAUCUGCGAUAAGCGUCGGUAAGGUGAUAUGAACCGUUAUAACCGGCGAUUUCCGAAUGGGGAAACCCAGUGUGAUUCGUCACACUAUCAUUAACUGAAUCCAUAGGUUAAUGAGGCGAACCGGGGGAACUGAAACAUCUAAGUACCCCGAGGAAAAGAAAUCAACCGAGAUUCCCCCAGUAGCGGCGAGCGAACGGGGAGCAGCCCAGAGCCUGAAUCAGUGUGUGUGUUAGUGGAAGCGUCUGGAAAGGCGCGCGAUACAGGGUGACAGCCCCGUACACAAAAAUGCACAUGCUGUGAGCUCGAUGAGUAGGGCGGGACACGUGGUAUCCUGUCUGAAUAUGGGGGGACCAUCCUCCAAGGCUAAAUACUCCUGACUGACCGAUAGUGAACCAGUACCGUGAGGGAAAGGCGAAAAGAACCCCGGCGAGGGGAGUGAAAAAGAACCUGAAACCGUGUACGUACAAGCAGUGGGAGCCUCUUUAUGGGGUGACUGCGUACCUUUUGUAUAAUGGGUCAGCGACUUAUAUUCUGUAGCAAGGUUAACCGAAUAGGGGAGCCGAAGGGAAACCGAGUCUUAACUGGGCGUUAAGUUGCAGGGUAUAGACCCGAAACCCGGUGAUCUAGCCAUGGGCAGGUUGAAGGUUGGGUAACACUAACUGGAGGACCGAACCGACUAAUGUUGAAAAAUUAGCGGAUGACUUGUGGCUGGGGGUGAAAGGCCAAUCAAACCGGGAGAUAGCUGGUUCUCCCCGAAAGCUAUUUAGGUAGCGCCUCGUGAAUUCAUCUCCGGGGGUAGAGCACUGUUUCGGCAAGGGGGUCAUCCCGACUUACCAACCCGAUGCAAACUGCGAAUACCGGAGAAUGUUAUCACGGGAGACACACGGCGGGUGCUAACGUCCGUCGUGAAGAGGGAAACAACCCAGACCGCCAGCUAAGGUCCCAAAGUCAUGGUUAAGUGGGAAACGAUGUGGGAAGGCCCAGACAGCCAGGAUGUUGGCUUAGAAGCAGCCAUCAUUUAAAGAAAGCGUAAUAGCUCACUGGUCGAGUCGGCCUGCGCGGAAGAUGUAACGGGGCUAAACCAUGCACCGAAGCUGCGGCAGCGACGCUUAUGCGUUGUUGGGUAGGGGAGCGUUCUGUAAGCCUGCGAAGGUGUGCUGUGAGGCAUGCUGGAGGUAUCAGAAGUGCGAAUGCUGACAUAAGUAACGAUAAAGCGGGUGAAAAGCCCGCUCGCCGGAAGACCAAGGGUUCCUGUCCAACGUUAAUCGGGGCAGGGUGAGUCGACCCCUAAGGCGAGGCCGAAAGGCGUAGUCGAUGGGAAACAGGUUAAUAUUCCUGUACUUGGUGUUACUGCGAAGGGGGGACGGAGAAGGCUAUGUUGGCCGGGCGACGGUUGUCCCGGUUUAAGCGUGUAGGCUGGUUUUCCAGGCAAAUCCGGAAAAUCAAGGCUGAGGCGUGAUGACGAGGCACUACGGUGCUGAAGCAACAAAUGCCCUGCUUCCAGGAAAAGCCUCUAAGCAUCAGGUAACAUCAAAUCGUACCCCAAACCGACACAGGUGGUCAGGUAGAGAAUACCAAGGCGCUUGAGAGAACUCGGGUGAAGGAACUAGGCAAAAUGGUGCCGUAACUUCGGGAGAAGGCACGCUGAUA
rnacentral:rRNA from 1 species